GAAGACGAAGUAAACGAAGUGUUCCUUUUAUAAUCGUCUAUCCGGUACAAAGUUAGUACGCUUUUUAUAUCGAAGUUGGAUUUUUCUCCAGAUACAGAUCCAGAUCCAGAUACAGAUUUUCUCCCAACUUCGGAAGUAGUGCGCUGGAUUCGCCUAAAGAUGCGCUAAACAGCACAUCAAUUAGUUUGACAGAUAAAAUUUCGGAAGAAAGUUCGGUUCGGAAGUCCCGACUUCCGAAUUCUAAGUUGAUGCUACGUUGACAAUACUGAUUCUGCGAGCAAGCAACGGCCGAUCAUUUCCCGCUGUACCGUGAAAUUGAAUUAAUGAUAAAACACUGCUGCAUGCCACCAUCACUGAUGAUUCAAUAUCGUUCGGCGACUAUCAUCGAGCUAUAUCACCAACGGGAUACAAUAAAAAAUUAAACAGGUAA